AACGAACGCUGGCGGCAUGCCUAACACAUGCAAGUCGAACGAGACCUUCGGGUCUAGUGGCGCACGGGUGCGUAACGCGUGGGAACCUGCCCUUAGGUUCGGAAUAACUCCCCGACAGGGGUGCUAAUACCGGAUAAUGUCUUCGGACCAAAGAUUUAUCGCCUUUGGAUGGGCCCGCGUUGGUUUAGCUAGUUGGUAGUGUAAAAGCCUACCAAGGCGACGAUCCAUAGCUGGUCUGAGAGGAUGAUCAGCCACACUGGGACUGAGACACGGCCCAGACUCCUACGGGAGGCAGCAGUGGGGAAUAUUGGACAAUGGGCGAAAGCCUGAUCCAGCAAUGCCGCGUGAGUGAUGAAGGCCUUAGGGUUGUAAAGCUCUUUUACCCGGGAUGAUAAUGACAGUACCGGGAGAAUAAGCUCCGGCUAACUCCGUG
rnacentral:rRNA from 1 species